UCCUGAGUCACGAGCGGGUAGUCGGAAGCACUGAGGUUAAUGAACCAAUCCCAAUCGGAUCCUUCCCUCAGCAAGAUCGCCGCAGCGUGAAGCGUAUUGGCAACCAUGGUGGGACCUCUGUAAGUGACGAGGUUAGCCUUGGCAAUCAUCUUCACAUUCCCGAAGUUGAUAAAAACCCUAUGGUCCCUCACGAAAUCGGCCAGAUCCGUCCGCUCGUCAGGGGAGGACUCGGCGUCCAAAUGCACCACGUAGCGGUUAUUAGGGUGGUAGAGAGCAAGUAGGGUUCGCUUGAGCAUGUCGCCGUCGCCCUUGGAGCCGGAGAUCAAGUAGGCGAAUCGCGGCGGCGGAGGGAGAUCGGAGAGCGGGAUGGGCUGCAGCUUGGUCUCGACGAAUUUGGAGCUGAAGGAUGAGUACAUUGUGCGGUAGAAGGGGAAGAUUGGGACACCGGCAGGGGAAUAGACGGUAGUAGUUAGGAAGAGGAGAAAGAGAGAGAAUAUUGAGCCAAUUGCAAGAGGGAAGAUCCAGCGCCGCCUAUCCGCCGCCUGGUGGUGGUGCCGGAAAUGCAUGUAGUAGUUCUUCAGCCGCUUCAUAUUUUCUUCCUUUUUCUGGUGUGGGGGUUCCGAUUUUCCUGGAGGUGUGAAGAUGGUUGUGUGACUGGUUUGGUCUGGGAUUGGGGAGGGGUAUAUAAAUUAGAUGGUGGAGGAGGAGGGAAAAUGUCACGGUGGCGGUGGGGGGCCGGGGGGGGGGGUUCGUGGGGGAGGGAAAAGGGGGGGGGGAGAAGAGCGAGCAGUGGGAAGAGGAUCCCGCGGCAGAUAAGAGAACACGUGCAGCAGAUCUAUCAAAGCCAAACAGAAACAAAAACCGUCAAUCAACAGGAACACGAAGUUCACCAAGCUGAUCAGUAGUGUUUAAAAAAUCUCACCGUCCUGAGUCACGAGCGGGUAGUCGGAAGCACUGAGGUUAAUGAACCAAUCCCAAUCGGAUCCUUCCCUCAGCAAGAUCGCCGCAGCGUGAAGCGUAUUGGCAACCAUGGUGGGACCUCUGUAAGUGACGAGGUUAGCCUUGGCAAUCAUCUUCACAUUCCCGAACUUGACAAAAACCCUAUGGUCCCUCACGAAAUCGGCCAGAUCCGUCCGCUCGUCAGGGGAGGACUCGGCGUCCAAAUGCACCACGUAGCGGUUAUUAGGGUGGUAGAGAGCAAGUA
rnacentral:lncRNA from 1 species